UCUGAGACGUGAUGCCGAGCCGCUUCAGGCGAAGUCAUCGAUCCCAUGCUGCCAAGAAAAGCCCAACAGUGAGUUGGCACGGCACCCGUACCCCAAACCGACACAGGUGGGCGGGUAGAGAAUACCAAGGCGAUCGGGAGAACUAUGGUUAAGGAACUCGGCAAAUUACAUCCGUAACUUCGGGAGAAGGAUGACCCUAUUAGGGUGAAGGGACUUGCUCCCCGAGCUCGAGAGGGUGACACAAACCAGGGGGUAGCGACUGUUUACCAAAAACACAGCAGCGUGCUAAGCCGCAAGGCGCUGUAUACGCUGUGACGCCUGCCCAAUGCUGGAAGGUCACGGGGAACGGUUAGUCGAAAGGCGAAGCUGUGAACCUAAGCCCCAGUGAAUGGCGGCCGUAACUAUAACGGUCCUAAGGUAGCGGAAUUCCUUGUCGGGUAAGUUCCGACCUGCACGAAUGGCGUAACGACUUCCCCACUGUCUCAACCAUAGACCCGGCGAAAUUGAAGUACGAGUAAAGAUGCUCGUUAGCUGCGGAAGGACGGAUAGACCCCAUGGACCUUUACUACAACUUGAUAUUGAGCUUUGUCCUGCAUUGUGUAGGAUAGGUGGGAGACUUGGAAGCUGUGGCGCUAGCCAUGGUGGAGUCAUCGUUGAAAUACCACCCUGUGUAUGACGGGGCUCUAACCUAGGUCCAUUAUCUGGAUCAGGAACAGUGUCAGGCGGAUAGUUUGACUGGGGCGGUCGCCUCCUAAAAUGUAACGGAGGCGCCCGAAGGUUCCCUCAGGCUGGUUGGCAAUCAGCCGUCGAGUGCAAUGGCACAAGGGAGCUUGACUGCGAGACCUACAAGUCAAGCAGGUGCGAAAGCAGGGCAUAGUGACCCGGCCAUCACGUGUGGAAGUGUGGUCGCUCAACGGAUAAAAGGUACCCUGGGGAUAACAGGCUAAUCUUUCCCAAGAGUCCAUAUCGACGGAAAGGUUUGGCACCUCGAUGUCGGCUCAUCGCAUCCUGGGGCUGAUCAGGUCCCAAGGGUUGGGCUGUUCGCCCAUUAAAGCGGUACGCGAGCUGGGUUCAGAACGUCGUGAGACAGUUCGGUCCCUAUCCUCCGCAGCCGAAGGUGUAUUGAGGAAGGCUGUCCCUAGUACGAGAGGACCGGGACGGACGGAGCUCUGGUGUGUCUGUUGUCCUGCCAAGGGCAUGGCAGAUUAGCCACCUCCGGAAGGGAUAACUGCUGAAAGCAUCUAAGUAGGAAACCCGUUCCAAGAUGAGUACACCCAUGCGGUUAACGCAGUAAGGCCCGUGACAAGACCAUCACGUUGAUAGGCCGGAGGUGUAAGCACGGUAACGUGUGUAGCCGACCGGUACUAAUCGGCCGAGGGCUUGGAUUC
rnacentral:rRNA from 1 species